rnacentral:rRNA from 1 species
CAGUCGCCGCGGUAAAACCGAGGGUGCAAGCGUUAAUCGGAAUUACUGGGCGUAAAGCGCGCGUAGGUGGUUUGUUAAGUUGGAUGUGAAAGCCCCGGGCUCAACCUGGGAACUGCAUCCAAAACUGGCAAGCUAGAGUACGGUAGAGGGUGGUGGAAUUUCCUGUGUAGCUGUGAAAUGCGUAGAUAUAGGAAGGAACACCAGUGGCGAAGGCGACCACCUGGACUGAUACUGACACUGAGGUGCGAAAGCGUGGGGAGCAAACAGGAUUAGAGACCCCUGUAGUCCCUGUCUCUUAUAC